UGGAAAUUAGAUGAUCAGACUACAGUGGAUGGUUAAAAUGAACUCCAAGAAUUUAGAUAAAUAAGGCUGAAGAAUGUGGUCCACAGUGAAACUUAAUCCCCGAGGUGUUACUGUCUCUCCAUGCCUGCAUGUGGAUCUCACCAUUCCUCUAGUCCUGGUGCUUGCUUUCAACACAGAGCUCUGGACUGCAAGGCAUUUGAUUUCUGGUUCUUUCAAUAUUCAAGUUGGAAGAGAGAAUAUGAAC
ensembl:lincRNA